rnacentral:rRNA from 1 species
AUGAACUCCAGGAUGAAGCUGCAGUGCCUUCCAUCUGGCUCUUGGCUGGGAGGAAGAAGAAAGACCGCCAUUCGGUCAGAGGAUUUGACGGCGAUGGCCGGCAUCGACCGCAACAGCGUUAGCCAUAGGCCAUCCAUGGUCUCCGUUGGUGAUGAGCUUGAACCCAAACUGGAUCUCUGUCUUCCCUCUCUUCCUCCUUCACCACCAUGGCAACCUUGGAAGCAGAGGACCUCCUCCCGAUCAGAGGACCAAACGAGCUUAUUCAUGGAGUCGCCGGCUGAUGAGGACAUCAAUACAAUUGUUACACCCACAGGCCCUGCUGCUAUACAUACUGGACCAAUUACUAGAGCUCGCGCACGCCAACUAAAUUACCAGGUACUUUCGUUUCUUGGUAAUGAUUCUAAUGUUCAUGAGAAUAUGAUGCUGCCUAAAUUGGAUACAUUUGUUUUGCUUACAAAUAAAGGGCCUAGCUUGGAGAAGGAUGAACAUUGGAGCAAGAACAAGCAUGGAGAUGAUGGCAUGCGCAAGGGGAACAAGAAUGGAGUUACAAGUGAUGAUUUCAGGACUUUGAAGCCACCAUAA